GAUGAACGCUGGCGGCGUGCCUAAUACACGCAAGUCGAGCGAACAGACGAGGAGCUUGCUCCUCUGACGUUAGCGGCGGACGGGUGAGUAACACGUGGAUAACCUACCUAUAAGACUGGGAUAACUUCGGGAAACCGGAGCUAAUACCGGAUAAUAUAUUGAACCGCAUGGUUCAAUAGUGAAAGACGGUUUUGCUGUCACUUAUAGAUGGAUCCGCGCCGCAUUAGCUAGUUGGUAAGGUAACGGCUUACCAAGGCAACGAUGCGUAGCCGACCUGAGAGGGUGAUCGGCCACACUGGAACUGAGACACGGUCCGGACUCCUACGGGAGGCAGCAGUAGGGAAUCUUCCGCAAUGGGCGAAAGCCUGACGGAGCAACGCCGCGUGAGUGAUGAAGGUCUUCGGAUCGUAAAACUCUGUUAUUAGGGAAGAACAAAUGUGUAAGUAACUAUGCACGUCUUGACGGUACCUAAUCAGAAAGCCACGGCUAACUACGUG
rnacentral:rRNA from 1 species